rnacentral:rRNA from 1 species
GUGAACGCUAGCGGUGCGCCUAACACAUGCAAGUCGAGUGGGUUUAGACCCACGGCAGACGGCUGAGUAACACGUUGGUACCUGCCCCGAACUCAGGGAUACCCCCGCGAAAGCGGGACUAAUACCGGAUGACCUCGCAAGAGGAAAGAUUUUUCGGUUCGGGAGGGGCCUGCGGCCUAUCAGAUAGUUGGUGAGGUAACGGCUUACCAAGUCGAUGACGGGUAGCUGGUUUGAGAGAACGACCAGCCAGAAUGGAACUGAGACACGGUCCAUACUCCUACGGGAGGCAGCAGUGAGGAAUCUUCCGCAAUGGGCGAAAGCCUGACGGAGCGACACCGCGUGAAGGAUGAAGCCAUUUUUUGGUGUAAACUUCUGUUCUGAGGGACGAAAUUUUUGACGGUACCUCAGGAGAAAGCAUCGGCUAAUUCUGU